rnacentral:rRNA from 1 species
GAUGAACGCUGGCGGCGUGCCUAAUACAUGCAAGUCGAGCGAACGGACGAGAAGCUCGCUUGUCUGAUGUUAGCGGCGGACGGGUGAGUAACACGUGGAUAACCUACCUAUAAGACUGGGAUAACUUCGGGAAACCGGAGCUAAUACCGGAUAAUAUUUUGAACCGCAUGGUUCAAAAGUGAAAGACGGUCUUGCUGUCACUUAUAGAUGGAUCCGCGCUGCAUUAGCUAGUUGGUAAGGUAACGGCUUACCAAGGCAACGAUGCAUAGCCGACCUGAGAGGAUGAUCGGCCACACUGGAACUGAGACACGGUCCAGACUCCUACGGGAGGCAGCAGUAGGGAAUCUUCCGCAAUGGGCGAAAGCCUGACGGAGCAACGCCGCGUGAGUGAUGAAGGUCUUCGGAUCGUAAAACUCUGUUAUUAGGGAAGAACAUAUGUGUAAGUAACUGUGCACAUCUUGACGGUACCUAAUCAGAAAGCCACGGCUAACUACGUG